AACUAAUAUUGAGUCUGAGUUGGCUAACUCAUCCAAAAAAUAUCUUAUAUAAAUCAGUGAUUAUAAAUAAGAGCUUCUCAUUGCAAGAAGAACAAUAUAAACAAUUAUAAAGUGGGACAAUAUUGCGUGAGAAAGUUAUUUAAAAUGGUGAAAAGGAAGAACUCAGUCAACCGAAAAGAAAAAUUUAAAGUAAACGUUAAAAAACAAAAUCAUCCAAAAAUCCAAAUUACACAUAGCAAUCAUGAAGAAGUUGAGAUUAUUGACGGAGUGAAGCUUUAUCUCAAAGAUGGUGGACAUCAAUUGACUUCAACAAAUAAGUAUAAAGAUGUUCGACUCAGAUGGAGAAGAUACUCGACUGAGAUUUAAGAUCCAUUUGCUAAGAAAAAAAUAUGGCUAGGUACUUUUGAUACUGAAAUACAAGCUGCUAUGGACGAAUAUGAAGAAAGCUGAAAUCAUAGGAUGAUUUUAUUAUUAGUUCAUCCUGCAAUAACUAUGUCGGUCCAUCUGAUCAUGGUGAUAAUUACAUGGUGGUUCAAAUCAAAUGGAGUUAGGUGUCUAUUAUGUUAUAUGUAAUAUUAUAAGUAAAAGAUUAAACUUUUAAUCUAUUCUAUUCUAUUAGGGUGAAUGAGAUUUUUUGUUUGAAAGGUGUUAAUGCAAACUUAAAAUUUGUUCAACAAUUUCUCGAUUAUAGACAAAUUGUAAUUUAUUUUAUUUUUAAUUUAGUUGUGGAAUGAAACUCUAUGAGUAAAUUAAAUUAAGAGGUGUUUGGAUAAAUUCUCAUUGUAUUAGAUCUUGCUUUAUACAUAUUAAAAACAUAUGUUUCUUUA